rnacentral:rRNA from 1 species
UGCAGUCGAGCGGACCGACGGGAGCUUGCUCCCUUAGGUCAGCGGCGGACGGGUGAGUAACACGUGGGUAACCUGCCUGUAAGACUGGGAUAACUCCGGGAAACCGGGGCUAAUACCGGAUGCUUGAUUGAACCGCAUGGUUCAAUCAUAAAAGGUGGCUUUUAGCUACCACUUGCAGAUGGACCCGCGGCGCAUUAGCUAGUUGGUGAGGUAACGGCUCACCAAGGCGACGAUGCGUAGCCGACCUGAGAGGGUGAUCGGCCACACUGGGACUGAGACACGGCCCAGACUCCUACGGGAGGCAGCAGUAGGGAAUCUUCCGCAAUGGACGAAAGUCUGACGGAGCAACGCCGCGUGAGUGAUGAAGGUUUUCGGAUCGUAAAACUCUGUUGUUAGGGAAGAACAAGUACCGUUCGAAUAGGGCGGCACCUUGACGGUACCUAACCAGAAAGCCACGGCUAACUACGUGCCAGCAGCCGCGGUAAUACGUAGGUGGCAAGCGUUGUCCGGAAUUAUUGGGCGUAAAGCGCGCGCAGGCGGUUUCUUAAGUCUGAUGUGAAAGCCCCCGGCUCAACCGGGGAGGGUCAUUGGAAACUGGGGAACUUGAGUGCAGAAGAGGAGAGUGGAAUUCCACGUGUAGCGGUGAAAUGCGUAGAGAUGUGGAGGAACACCAGUGGCGAAGGCGACUCUCUGGUCUGUAACUGACGCUGAGGCGCGAAAGCGUGGGGAGCGAACAGGAUUAGAUACCCUGGUAGUCCACGCCGUAAACGAUGAGUGCUAAGUGUUAGAGGGUUUCCGCCCUUUAGUGCUGCAGCAAACGCAUUAAGCACUCCGCCUGGGGAGUACGGUCGCAAGACUGAAACUCAAAGGAAUUGACGGGGGCCCGCACAAGCGGUGGAGCAUGUGGUUUAAUUCGAAGCAACGCGAAGAACCUUACCAGGUCUUGACAUCCUCUGACAACCCUAGAGAUAGGGCUUCCCCUUCGGGGGCAGAGUGACAGGUGGUGCAUGGUUGUCGUCAGCUCGUGUCGUGAGAUGUUGGGUUAAGUCCCGCAACGAGCGCAACCCUUGAUCUUAGUUGCCAGCAUUCAGUUGGGCACUCUAAGGUGACUGCCGGUGACAAACCGGAGGAAGGUGGGGAUGACGUCAAAUCAUCAUGCCCCUUAUGACCUGGGCUACCACCGUGCUACAAUGGGCAGAACAAAGGGCAGCGAAGCC